UGUUCUUCAUAUGGAAACUCCAAUUAAUCAUCAAUCACUUCAAAAUCUUCUAAAAAAAUUAUGAAUAUGUUUCCAUUUCUUUUCCCUUUAUUACCUUCACACGCUCUCUCUCUCCGAUUAAACUCCUUUCAGUUUCUUCCAUACCUAUGAAAACCCUAAUUCACAGCCGUAUUCAAUCAAAAUUGUAGUUUCUCAUACCUAUCAAAACCCUAAUUGAAACAUCAACCAUGAUAGAGGCAGUGAAACCAGGCGGCGACAGUGGUGGUCUAAUGUUGAUGGUGGAGGAGUCGCGACAGCAGUGGUUUUGUGGUACUUGAAUCUUCGUCUCAAUCAUUCCCUACGCCAUCUAAUAUUUUACAGAUGUUGAAAGAAGAUGCAAAUAGUGGAAAAGUGUCGUCUAAUGUACCUGUUGCACUCAAAGAAUUGAAUGAAAAUGGUGAUGAUUUUACCUUAGCAGAUUCCUCAGGGUGGAAUGAACAAAAAGAUCAUCACUGAUACAAAUCUGACAUCAGUAUCUUAUAAUUUGGUGUGCAUAACCUUCAACUUCAACGCUUGAAGGUAAUAUUGAUUUUAAUUUUUGAAUUUUGUUACGAAAUUGCUUAUCAUCACCAAAAUUUGAAGAAGCGAAUUGACAAUUUUGAAAUUUUUUUACUCCUUGAAGAAUCCCAGGUUAGUUAUAUGUUUGUUGUUGUUCUUAAAGAUUUUCUGAAAUUGACUAUUAAAGGUAUGUUAUGGUAAAGCUAGCUUAGAAUGGUUGCAAGUUUGAAAAGCGAUUUGAUUGUAUUAGGGAAUAUGAGAAUUUUGAGUGUAGUUCUGAUGAGGGUUGACUGAAAAUAAUGUCAAUUUUUUUCUCUGAAUGUUGUAAUUGAUCUUGCAGGAACCGUUUUAAUUCUCACCAUAUCAUCAGGCUAUCCGAGAACCUUUUAACUACUAUAUGUUUGUUCAAAUUAUAUCUGUCCUUUAAUCAACUUCAGGUUAGUUAACCACCUAAAAAUACAAGUAAAUGACUUCGUAACGGCGCUUAGUGUUUAUUUGCCAUUCUAACCGUUGUCAGUUGUUGUCAAGAGUCAUAUGUUGGCAAUAUUCUAUUUUCCAUGAGAUGGAAGAACAACUCAAGAAGGUGCCAGCUUUUCAUAAUCAUCUUUAGUUUAUGCA